rnacentral:rRNA from 1 species
GAUGAACGCUGGCGGCGUGCUUAACACAUGCAAGUCGAACGGUGAAGCAGAGCUUGCUCUGUGGAUCAGUGGCGAACGGGUGAGUAACACGUGAGCAAUCUGCCCCUGACUCUGGGAUAAGCGCUGGAAACGGCGUCUAAUACCGGAUACGAGCUGCGACCGCAUGGUCAGUAGCUGGAAAGAAUUUCGGUCAGGGAUGAGCUCGCGGCCUAUCAGCUUGUUGGUGAGGUAAUGGCUCACCAAGGCGUCGACGGGUAGCCGGCCUGAGAGGGUGACCGGCCACACUGGGACUGAGACACGGCCCAGACUCCUACGGGAGGCAGCAGUGGGGAAUAUUGCACAAUGGGCGCAAGCCUGAUGCAGCAACGCCGCGUGAGGGAUGACGGCCUUCGGGUUGUAAACCUCUUUUAGCAGGGAAGAAGCGAAAGUGACGGUACCUGCAGAAAAAGCGCCGGCUAACUACGUGCCAGCAGCCGCGGUAAUACGUAGGGCGCAAGCGUUAUCCGGAAUUAUUGGGCGUAAAGAGCUCGUAGGCGGUCUGUCGCGUCUGCUGUGAAAACCCGAGGCUCAACCUCGGGCCUGCAGUGGGUACGGGCAGACUAGAGUGCGGUAGGGGAGAUUGGAAUUCCUGGUGUAGCGGUGGAAUGCGCAGAUAUCAGGAGGAACACCGAUGGCGAAGGCAGAUCUYUGGGCCGUAACUGACGCUGAGGAGCGAAAGGGUGGGGAGCAAACAGGCUUAGAUACCCUGGUAGUCCMCCCCGUAAACGUUGGGAACUAGUUGUGGGGUCCAUUCCACGGAUUCCGUGACGCAGCUAACGCAUUAAGUUCCCCGCCUGGGGAGUACGGCCGCAAGGCUAAAACUCAAAGGAAUUGACGGGGACCCGCACAAGCGGCGGAGCAUGCGGAUUAAUUYGAUGCAACGCGAAGAACCUUACCAAGGCUUGACAUAUAGAGGAAACGU